UCGUAAUGACAACCACGUGGCUUCUGUCUUUAGCCACCAUUUUGUUUGAGGUCACCUGACUCACCUGGAGAAGAAGGUCCUUCACCUGUAGAUCCAACAUGGAGCCGCUGGGCCUGUUGGGGGGGCAGGCUGGGGGUCGUCAGCCGGCACCAGGAGCUGUUAGCCGGCUAAUGAAAUGUAGCUUCACACGAUAAACCUCCAUUAAAUCUCCUCCAAGUCUUAUUUCAACUCGCUUCCACGUGUUGCGCUCACCUGGACCCGUCUAUCACCUGGCGCCGCUGAUCAGCUAGCUUGAUGAGCUAACUGUUUCUGAGAAGCCACGGGGUCAGGGCGAGUUGAAUCUCAUGUCAGAAUUGGCCCCGCGUUGACCUGCGCCUGACUGGCCUCCCAGCAAAAAGCCCCUGUGAAGAAGGAAGCGAGGGCUCCGCCGAUCCGAAGGUGAAAAACACCCUCCUCCUCCUCCUCUCCCCCGGCUGAACAUCUGUCUCCGUGGCGUUGGCGGCAGCACAGACUCUGACACCUCCAGAUGGAGCGCCCGCUGGGAGCGCUGAGGUAUUGCCUACAGAGAUGGCAGGGAUCACACCUCUGGAAUGAAGUCCCACACUUGUUUUCUGCACCGUCCCCUUUUUUGUUGUUGGAUCUGUCACUAUUCACCGAAUCGAUUGUCGCCACAGUCCUUGGCCUUGUGACUCAUCUGAAGAGGAGGCUUGUGCCUUGUAGAGAAAUGUAUGACAACAAACCCCUUAGCCCUUUUUCUAAUUUACAGUAAUGGGCCGUAUGGUAUUUCAACUGUAACUUCUAUUCGUUGGACUGUAUUAAUUUUUAAUAUAGUUGUGCGAGAACUGCACACUCAUGCAGAUAUAUUUCAAAUGGUGGCUGAUUUCCAUUUCAAAGAAACAUGUUUUUCAGAGGCUGGGAACAGUUUUAACUUUGCACAGUUCGCUCAAUGGCCUAUAACCUUAUUACUCUAAAUAUUAAAAGCAAUAUACCUGCAAACAUCUGAAGUGAGCGAGGCCUGGAGUUCCUCCUCCGCGAGCCACUCUGGUGUCUUGACAGAUUGACUCUGCAUUCAUUCGUGCCUGAACUCUGCGUGAACCUCAGCUUUAGGAAAAAGGACACCAACAGGCCGGUGCUGCUGGGGCAGAAACUUGUGUGUGUGCAAACUUAACACCCAGUGCAAAUAUUGAAACUGCUGCCUCCUUUAGCAUCGGCUGAACCUAGGUGGCCGGGUCCGGCAAACGUUUAGCUGAAGGCGAAACCUGAAUGAGCACUGAGACGUUAGAUUAUCCACUUAUCUCCUUGGUUUUCGACAGGGAAAAAAACGUUAUUAAAAACAAGUAUUUCACUUAAA